rnacentral:lncRNA from 1 species
AUAUUAUUACAUAAAACGCCGGUGAAAACAAAAUAUACACAUAGUUUUUCCGUCAGCCGAUCCGACUAUUACAGGGUCUUUCAAACGCUUUUUUCUUGCAUUUCAUGGCGAUUAUGUUACUACACGUUAAAUUAAUUGAAAAGUGCAGGUACAAGAGCUAUACCAACCCACUACAUUCUGGUAUUGGUAGAAAGGCCACAUUUCAUAUUUUUCAAAAAGUGCUGCUACUAGUUAUAUAGCGUUCGUGUAAAGGAAAUUUUACAACCCGAAGUGCCAAAAAGUCAAUAAAUCGAUAAAAUUCUCCAUGUUUUAUUGUUUUUUAUUUACAAAACAUCUAAUAAAAAA